rnacentral:rRNA from 1 species
GUGCCAGCAGCCGCGGUAACACGGGGGGAGCAAGCGUUGUUCGGAAUUACUGGGCGUAAAGGGCGUGUAGGCGGUCAAGUAAGUGGAAUGUGAAAUCCCUCGGCUCACCCGAGGACCUGCAUCCCAAACUGCUUGGCUUGAGUAUGGGAGAGGAUGAAGGAAUUCCUGGUGUAGCGGUGAAAUGCGUAGAUAUCAGGAGGAACACCGGUGGCGAAGGCGUUCAUCUGGCCCAAUACUGACGCUGAGGCGCGAAAGCUAGGGGAGCAAACGGGAUUAGAUACCCGCGUAGUCC